CACUGUCAGUCUGUUGCUGCGGUGCGAAUAACAGCAGUCCAUGGAAAGUGUCCCAUGUCUCUUCAGAAUCUUUCUUCAAGAACAAACAUGCUCACGGCAAAGUUCUUGAAAAAACUCAGCAGCACACUGCUGCUUUCCUUUCUGAAAAUCUGAGUUGAUGCUUGGAAGCUUGCCCAUAAGUGAUUUGUGAUGAAGUAACCCAGGAGCAGUCUUGUAGGCACUGAUAUAAAGGACUUGGUACUGCA